CAGGAAAUAGCAUAUAUAGAAGUGUG
rnacentral:tRNA from 1 species